rnacentral:rRNA from 1 species
GUGUCAGCCGCCGCGGUAAAACGUAGGAGGCAAGCGUUAUCCGAAUUUACUGGGCGUAAAGCGCGUGCAGGCGGUUCGGUAAGUUGGAUGUGAAAUCUCCUGGCUCAACUGGGAGAGGUCGUUCAAAACUACCGGGCUAGAGGAUGGUAGAGGAAGGUGGAAUUCCCGGUGUAGUAGUGAAAUGCGUAGAUAUCGGGAGGAACACCUGUGGCGAAAGCGGCCUUCUGGACCAUACCUGACGCUCAGACGCGAAAGCUAGGGGAGCGAACGGGAUUAGAAACCCGUGUAGUCC